rnacentral:rRNA from 1 species
UUGAUCCUGCGGAAGGUUGCUGCUAUUAGGGUUCGAUUUAGCCAUGCAAGUCGGAGGGUCUUCUUCGGAAGGCCCAGGCAAACUGCUCAGUAACACGUUGAUAAUCUGCCUUUAGGUCUGGUAUAACCUUGGAAAACUGAGGGUAAAACCGGAUAUGGGAAAAGGUCUGGAAUGAUCUUUCCCUGAAAAGCAAUGCCUAAAGAUGAGUCAGCGGCGGAUUAGAUUGUUGGUGGGGUAAUGGCCCACCAAGUCGACGAUCCGUAGGGGCCUUGAGAGAGGUAGCCCCGAGAAGGACACUGAGAUACUGGUCCUAGCCCUACGGGGUGCAGCAGGCGCGAAACCUUUACACUGCACGAAAGUGUGAUAAGGGAACCCUAAGUGCUAAUGCAAUAGCAUUAGCUUUUGCCAAGAGUAAAUAUCUUGGAGAAUAAGUGGUGGGUAAGACUGGUGCCAGCCGCCGCGGUAACACCAGCGCCACAAGUGGGAACCAGAUUUAUUUGGCCUAAAGCGUCCGUAGCUGGCCUGAUAAAUCCUUUGUGAAAUCAUUGGGCUCAACUCAAUGACGGGCAGAGGAGACUGUCAGGCUUGGAACCGGGAGGAGUCAGAAGUAUUCCAGGGGGAGCGGUAAAAUGCUAUAAUCCCUGGAAGACUACCUGUGGCGAAGGCGUCUGACUAGAACGGAUUCGACAGUGAGGGACGAAAGCCAGGGGAGCGAUCCGGAUUAGAUACCCGAGUAGUCCUGGCCGUAAACGCUGCGAGCAAGGUGUUGCAUAUUCUACGUGAAUAUGCAGUGUCGAAAUGAAGAUGUUAAGCUCGCCGCCUGGGAAGUAUAGUCGCAAGACCGAAACUUAAAGGAAUUGGCGGGGGAGCACUACAAGGGGUGCGGCGUGCGGUUUAAUCUAAUUCAACGCAGAGAAUCUCACCAGAGGCGACGGCAGAAUGAAGGUCAGGUUGAAGACUUUACCCGACGAGCCGAGAGGUAGUGCAUGGCCGCCGUCAGCUCGUGCCGUAAGGUGUCCUGUUAAGUCAGGUAACGAGCGAGACCUGUGCUUAUAAUUGCUAACAAGCCUAUCAGGUGAUUGAGCACAUUAUAAGGACUGCCCUGGAAACAGGGAGGAAGGUGCAGGCAACGGUAGGUCUGUAUGCUCCGAAUCCUCUGGGCUACACGCGCGCAACAAUGGUACGGACAAAGGGAUACAACUCCGAAAGGAGAAGUUAAACCUCUAAACCCUACCCUAGUACAGAUUGAGGAUUGUAACUCAUCCUCAUGACGAUGGAAUCCCUAGUAAUCGGAAGUUAUCAUCUUCCGGUGAAUAUGUCCCUGCUCCUUGCACACACCGCCCGUCAAACCACUCGAGCAGGGUUUAGGUGAGCAUUAGCCUUUUAGUUGAUGCGAAUCUAAGCUCAGUGAGAUGGGUUAAGUCGUCACAAGGUA